GCUCCUGCGGUUGGGCGGCUCCUAUACUGCAGUCGAACGAACUCUGGUAUUGAUUGGUGCUUGCAUCAUGAUUUACAUUUGAGUGAGUGGCGAACUGGUGAGUAACACGUGGGAAACCUGCCCAGAAGCGGGGGAUAACACCUGGAAACAGAUGCUAAUACCGCAUAACAACUUGGACCGCAUGGUCCGAGCUUGAAAGAUGGCUUCGGCUAUCACUUUUGGAUGGUCCCGCGGCGUAUUAGCUAGAUGGUGGGGUAACGGCUCACCAUGGCAAUGAUACGUAGCCGACCUGAGAGGGUAAUCGGCCACAUUGGGACUGAGACACGGCCCAAACUCCUACGGGAGGCAGCAGUAGGGAAUCUUCCACAAUGGACGAAAGUCUGAUGGAGCAACGCCGCGUGAGUGAAGAAGGGUUUCGGCUCGUAAAACUCUGUUGUUAAAGAAGAACAUAUCUGAGAGUAACUGUUCAGGUAUUGACGGUAUUUAACCAGAAAGCCACGGCUAACUACGUGCCAGCAGCCGCGGUAAUACGUAGGUGGCCAAGCGUAAAAGG
rnacentral:rRNA from 2 species